GCCCCGAUGCUGGAAUUGGUAGACAGGUACGGCUUAGAACCGUAUGCCUUUUUGGGCUUGGGGGUUCGAGUCCCUCUCGGGGCA
rnacentral:tRNA from 1 species